rnacentral:rRNA from 1 species
UACGGAGGGUGCAAGCGUUUAUCCCGGAUUCACUGGGUUUAAAGGGUGCGUAGGUGGGAAUAUAAGUCAGUGGUGAAAUCUCCGUGCUUAACAUGGAAACUGCCAUUUGAUACUAUUGUUUCUUGAAUUUUCUGGAGGUCAGCGGAAUAUGUCAUGUAGCGGAUGAAAUGCUUAGAUAUGACAUAGAACACCAAAUUGCGAAGGCAGCUGACUACAGGGACAUUGACACUGAGGCACGAAAGCGUGGGGAUCAAACAGG